CCUACGGGGGGCAGCAGUGAGGAAUAUUGGUCAAUGGCCGAAAGGCUGAACCAGCCAAGUCGCGUGAGGGAAGAAGGCCCUACGGGUUGUAAACCUCUUUUGUCGGGGAGCAAAGCGAACCACGUGUGGAUCUUUGCGUGUACCCUAAGAAUAAGCAUCGGCUAACUCCGUGCCAGCAGCCGCGGUAAUACGGAGGAUGCGAGCGUUAUCCGGAUUUAUUGGGGUUAAGGGGUGCGUAGGUGGUGUUGCAAGUCAGCGGUAAAAUUUCGGGGCUCAACCCCGUACUGCCGUUGAAACUGCAUGCCUUGAGUGCGCGAGAGGUAGGCGGAAUGCGUGGUGUAGCGGUGAAAUGCAUAGAUAUCACGCAGAACUCCGAUUGCGAAGGCAGCAUACC
rnacentral:rRNA from 1 species